UCGGUCGUGGUCCAGUGGUUAGGAUUUCUCGCUUUCAAGUUACUAUACCAUGUUAUCAUUGUCAUUACCAGAGUCCAGAGUCCAGAGUCCAGAGAACACAAUAUUGACAUAUACUCGAGUGCCGUGAAUGCCCGGGUUCGAACCCCGGCGACCGAA
rfam:Sphaerulina musiva SO2202 unplaced genomic scaffold SEPMTscaffold_1, whole genome shotgun sequence.